GUCGGAGUAAUUUCGUUACACGUCAAUUCCACAAUUUCGACACGUUCAUUCGGAUGGACAACAUUUGGUCCUCGCUCGUGAAUUCGUCACAUAGGUAACUUUUGCAUUGAUGGAUAAUAGUGAUAAUAAUAUACCUAUAAUGACCAAGAUCUCUAACACAGUAAAGUUACUAUGGAACAAGGUUGAUAUGUUGAGUUAAAGCAGAUAUAUACACGGUGUGGUUUGAAAUAUACCCACAACUUACAAGUACGAGGUUAGAUUGAAAUAAAACACGGUAUUAAAAAAAAAAAAAUCAUCAAUCGCGUUCAAAUCAUAACACAUCAUAUCGGAUCUUUAGGUUGAUAUAAUAUUUUCAUAUAGGUAUUGGUAUUUGACACCUGUAAUAAAUCAUAUUUACAAUAUUCCUA